GAUGAACGCUGGCGGCGUGCCUAAUACAUGCAAGUCGAGCGAAAACACGAGGAGCUUGCUCUUCUGCCGUUAGCGGCGGACGGGUGAGUAACACGUGGAUAACCAUCCUAUAUGACUGGGAUAAUUUCGGGAAACCGGAGCUACUAACGCAUCAUAUAUUGUACCGCAUGGAUCAAUAGUGCAUGACGCCUUUGCCGUCACUUUUAGAUGGAUUCGUGUCGCCUUAGCUAGUUGGUAAGGUAACGGCUUACCAAGGCGACGAUGCGUAGCCGACCUGAGAGGAUGAUCAGCCACACUGGAACUGAGACACGGUCCAGACUCCUACGGGAGGCAGCAGUGGGGAAUCUUCGACAAAGGGCGAAAGCCUGAUCCAGCAACACCGCGUGAGUGAUGAAGGUCUUCGGGUCGUAAAGCUCUGUUGUUAGGAAAGAAAAGAUGCGGGUGAAUACCCCGACGUUUUGACGGUACCUAAAGAGUAAGCAACGGCUAACUACGUG
rnacentral:rRNA from 1 species